AAGGUGGAGGGUCAUUGAAAACUGGGAGACUUGACUGCAAAAGAGGAAAGUGGAAUUCCAUGUGUAGCGGUGAAAUGCGUAGAGAUAUGGAGNGAACACCAGNUGGCGAAGGCGACUUUCUGGUCUGUAACUGACACUGAGGCGCNAAAGCGUGGGGAGCAAACAAGAUUAGAUACCCUGGUAGUCCACGCCGUAAACGAUGAGUGCUAAGUGUUAGAGGGUUUCCGCCCUUUAGUGCUGAAGUUAACGCAUUAAGCACUCCGCCUGGGGAGUACGGCCGCAAGGCUGAAACUCAAAGGAAUUGACGGGGGCCCGCACAAGCGGUGGAGCAUGUGGUUUAAUUCGAAGCAACGCGAAGAACCUUACCAGGUCUUGACAUCCUCUGACAACCCUAGAGAUAGGGCUUCUCCUUCGGGAGCAGAGUGACAGGUGGUGCAUGGUUGUCGUCAGCUCGUGUCGUGAGAUGUUGGGUUAAGUCCCGCAACGAGCGCAACCCUUGAUCUUAGUUGCCAUCAUUUAGUUGGGCACUCUAAGGUGACUGCCGGUGACAAACCGGAGGAAGGUGGGGAUGACGUCAAAUCAUCAUGCCCCUUAUGACCUGGGCUACACACGUGCUACAAUGGACGGUACAAAGAGCUGCAAGACCGCGAGGUGGAGCUAAUCUCAUAAAACCGUUCUCAGUUCGGAUUGUAGGCUGCAACUCGCCUACAUGAAGCUGGAAUCGCUAGUAAUCGCGGAUCAGCAUGCCGCGGUGAAUACGUUCCCG
rnacentral:rRNA from 1 species